rnacentral:lncRNA from 1 species
UGGUCUUGCCCAUUAUGAGAUGGGUGUACCUAAUAAACUUGCCACUGAGUGUAGAAUGAAAAGUUACCUUUCAUCACACAAUUCACAUGCUUUGAAAUCAAAGAUAGCAGGGCAUAGCAAUGUUAUGUUUUAGGUUUAGCAGCCCAUUUGUUUCAGUACACAUUUGAAAAGUAGUCUAAAACACACAUCUUUGCCCUCUGCAGAGGACAUUCAGUGAACCCCCCAUGAAAGCACCACCCUCCUUCCCAAAACAGACUGACUCUAGCUUGCCCCCCCUGGGACAACGGUUUGAUUUCUUCUCAAAGACGACUACCCCAAAAAAUGACACUGUGACUGGCAAAAGGCUCCAGGGAGAGGAUUACAGCAAGGAAGUGGAGGCAUUCAUGGGGAUAUUUGAUGGACUAUUUUAGUAGUGUUUGUAGUUGUAUGCACUAUUUCCAUGAUAAUGUUUCAUGGUGAUUUGUCAUGUUAUUGUGUAAUGUAAUUUUGUUAUACUGUUAUUUAUACUGUUUGUUGUUUGGGAUUCACUGUUAGAUUUACUGUUGGUCCUAUUUGAAAAUGUUUAUCUAGGAGUAUGAACUUUCAAUCUUCUUUAGCAGGAUUCCAAAAAUGUUAUAUUUUGUGUACUUUAUUAAAUGAACACUAUUUAUUCAGAGGAAGUCUGAGGGUGUAGAGAGCAAUAGUAAUGGUGUCAUGGACCAUAUAAUGGUGUUUUAUUCCCUUUAGUGGACUGUCUUUAAAUUGCAGCUUGUAGCUGCACUUCCUGUGCUCACAAGGGGAGAAGACAGUAGGGGAUGUAACUCUGAGCUGGAUGUAACAUGCAGUAUAGCAUCCAGCUCAGUUACAUCCAGCUUUAGUUACAUCCAGUAUUUUUAUUUAUUUAUUUAAUUUAUUUCACCUUUAUUUAACCAGGUAGGCUAGUUGAGAACACCUUUAUUUAACCAGGUAGGCUAGUUGAGAACACCUUUAUUUAACCAGGUAGGCUAGUUGAGAACAAGUUCUCAUUUGCAACUGCGACCUGGCCAAGAUAAAGCAUAGCAGUGUGAGCAGACAACACAGAGUUACACAUGGAGUAAACAAUUAACAAGUCAAUAACACAGUAGAAAACAAAGGGGGAGUCUAUAUACAAUGUGUGCAAAAGGCAUGAGGUAGGCGAAUAAUUACAAUUUUGCAGAUUAACACUGGAGUGAUAAAUGAUCAGAUGGUCAUGUACAGGUAGAGAUAUUGGUGUGCAAAAGAGCAGAAAAGUAAAUAAAUAAAAACAGUAUGGGGAUGAGGUAGGUGAAAAUGGGUGUGCUAUUUACCAAUAGACUAUGUACAGCUGCAGCGAUCGGUUAGCUGCUCAGAUAGCUGAUGUUUGAAGUUUGUGAGGGAGAUAAAAGUCUCCAACUUCAGCGAUUUUUGCAAUUCGUUCCAGUCACAGGCAGCAGAGUACUGGAACGAAAGGCGGCCAAAUGAGGUGUUGGCUUUAGG